rnacentral:piRNA from 1 species
UGCAGAUAAUGUAGUUAAGCAGUUGCAUG